AUUGAACGCUGGCGGCAGGCCUAACACAUGCAAGUCGAGCGGAUGACGGGAGCUUGCUCCUUGAUUCAGCGGCGGACGGGUGAGUAAUGCCUAGUAAUCUGCCUGGUAGUGGGGGACAACGUUUCGAAAGGAACGCUAAUACCGCAUACGUCCUACGGGAGAAAGCAGGGGACCUUCGGGCCUUGCGCCAUCAGAUGAGCCUAGGUCGGAUUAGCUAGUUGGUGAGGUAAUGGCUCACCAAGGCGACGAUCCGUAACUGGCCUGAGAGGAUGAUCAGUCACACUGGAACUGAGACACGGUCCAGACUCCGACGGGAGGCAGCAGUGGGGAAUAUUGGACAAUGGGCGAAAGCCUGAUCCAGCCAUGCCGCGUGUGUGAAGAAGGUCUUCGGAUUGUAAAGCACUUUAAGUUGGGAGGAAGGGCAGUAAGCUAAUACCUUGCUGUUUUGACGUUACCGACAGAAUAAGCACCGGCUAACUCUGUGCCAGCCGCCGCCGUAACAC
rnacentral:rRNA from 1 species